rnacentral:rRNA from 1 species
CGGGGUGAGUAACGCGUGGAUAACCUGCCUCACACUGGGGGAUAACAGUUAGAAAUGACUGCUAAUACCGCAUAAGCGCACAGUACCGCAUGGUACAGUGUGAAAAACUCCGGUGGUGUGAGAUGGAUCCGCGUCUGAUUAGCUAGUUGGUAAGGUAACGGCUUACCAAGGCGACGAUCAGUAGCCGACCUGAGAGGGUGACCGGCCACAUUGGGACUGAGACACGGCCCAA